GAAUUUUCUUCCACAUCAUGUGUGUGGUUGAUAUUGCUAAAUGCCAAAUAAAUACCUCUCAAAAACAACACCUAAAUCACAAAUUAAACUCUCUCCAAAUCUUUAAACAUCUCAUAAAUAAUCCUACUCCUUCAUCGCUAUCUUUUCCACCCUUUUUCCACACACAAGCAUGCUAAGUGCUCAAACAACCACCACCAGCACCGCCACUGCUACUGGAGAAACCGAUCAUUACCAUGACCAAGACCAUGAAAAUGAGCAUAUCCGCGAUAUCCACGCCCUAACCCCACCGCAACCGCCUCCUGUCCCUCGUAGCCACUGGGAAACUGGCAGCCACCGGUCACACUCCAUGUCCAUAGGUAGUGAAGGGGCUUCAAGUGAGAACUUCACCACCAUGAGCAGAGAAUUCAAUGCGCUGGUUCUUGCUGGUUCUGCUAUAGGAACCAGUAUGAACAACAACAAUAUCAGCUCUGAUCAUAAUAAUAGCGAGGAUGUUAAUGGAAACAACUUGUUGGCUAGGAUUGGAGAGGAUGAUGUGC
rnacentral:misc_RNA from 1 species